UACGUAGGGGGCAAGCGUUGUCCGGAAUCAUUGGGCGUAAAGCGCACGUAGGCGGCUUUGCAAGUCCCAUGUGAAAUCCCACGGCUUAACCGUGGAAGUGCAUGGGAAACUGCAGAGCUUGAGUACUUAAGAGGAUCGCGGAAUUCCCGGUGUAGAGGUGAAAAUUCGUAGAUAUCGAGAGGAACACCUGCGGCGAAGGCGGCUCACUGGCCCGGUACUGACGCUGAGGUGCGAAAGCGUGGGGGAGCAAACAGG
rnacentral:rRNA from 1 species